rnacentral:rRNA from 1 species
UGCGUAGGCGGGCUAAUAAGUCAGUGGUGAAAUCUCUCGGCUCAACCGGGAAACUGCCAUUGAUACUGUUAGUCUUGAGUUCGGUUGAGGUAGGCGGAAUGUGUAAUGUAGCGGUGAAAUGCUUAGAUAUUACACAGAACACCAAUUGCGUAGGCAGCUUACUAGACCGACACUGACGCUGAGGCACGAAAGCGUAGGGAGCGAACAGGAUUAGAUACCCUGGUAGUCC